rfam:Delta proteobacterium ML8_D scaffold_65, whole genome shotgun sequence.
CCUGGCAUGUUCCUGCCAGUCCCUACGUGGGCAUGCUACUGUUGCGCUGAUGAUGAGGUGCGAAGCCCCACGGACAACGUACCGAAUUGGGUCGAAAUGGUAACAGGACGACCCUUCUGUGGAAUUUGGGG